rnacentral:misc_RNA from 1 species
UCCGUUUUGUCGACGGCAGUCUCUCUGGAGUGCUCGGCCGAACCGCUAGCAACUAAAGAUAAGGGUUGCGCUCGUUGCGGGACUUAACCCAACAUCUCACGACACGAGCUGACGACAGCCAUGCAGCACCUCGACUAGUGUCCCUUGCGGGAAAAGAAACUUUCAUCUCCUGUCACUAGCCGUUCGAGCCCAGGUAAGGUUCUUCGCGUUGCGUCGAAUUAAACCACAUACUCCACCGCUUGUGCGGGCCCCCGUCAAUUUCUUUGAGUUUUAAUCUUGCGACCGUACUUCCCAGGCGGCAUAUUUAACGCGUUUGCUACGCCACAAAAGGGGUCGAUUCCUUUUACAGCAAAUAUGCACCGUUUACAGCUAGGACUAC